UCAUGGCUCAGAUUGAACGCUGGCGGCAGGCCUAACACAUGCAAGUCGAACGGUAACAGGAAGCAGCUUGCUGCUUUGCUGACGAGUGGCGGACGGGGGAGUAAUGUCUGGGAAACUGCCUGAUGGAGGGGGAUAACUACUGGAAACGGUAGCUAAUACCGCAUAACGUCGCAAGACCAAAGAGGGGGACCUUCGGGCCUCUUGCCAUCGGAUGUGCCCAGAUGGGAUUAGCUAGUAGGUGGGGUAACGGCUCACCUAGGCGACGAUCCCUAGCUGGUCUGAGAGGAUGACCAGCCACACUGGAACUGAGACACGGUCCAGACUCCUACGGGAGGCAGCAGUGGGGAAUAUUGCACAAUGGGC
rnacentral:rRNA from 1 species